UCAUAGUACUUUGAGUCUACAAUUCCCACAGCCCUUAUCAACAGAGCCCUGUUCCUGGACUAUUUCUGCCCUCAUAGGGCUCAGCGCCCUGCCCGACUUCACUCUGCAACAUCUGCACAACUGGCUCGGGUCAGCUCCCUGUGCCUCACUAUGGCUGGCAGGACGAAGUGGCUGAGAAAGUAAUUGAGACCUUCAGAGUAAGAGAAAAAUACAACCUCAACAGCAAGCAAUGUAAAUUAACCUCUUCAACCUGCCUUCAAGUGUUUCUCCAUGUGUGGACCUCAGGAAGCAGCAGAGUCACAGACUAAACCAGAAUUUCUGUGGACAAUUUAACAUACAAUUAAAUGAAGAUUCCUGCCCCCCCCCAAAUCUACUGGAUCAGAUGCUUUAUGGAGGAAGGAACCACAUGCCCUUUGGCUAGGCAGAGGCUGAGUGGAGGAAAGGAUCAGUGAACAGAAGACAGAGGCCAACUGUGUUUCCAAUUACGCCUCAGGAGGAAGCCAGAGACUCUAGAACAGUGUUCUCCACAAGAACCUUGAAAAGACUUUUGCAAGCUCCAUAAGUUUUUAUUAUUCUUUUUCUCCUCAGAUAAGAAAUGGC